GAGAAAAGGUGAAGGGAGAUGCAGUUCCUGGAGAAUUUGUAAAAAGCCUUGCAAAGAGUUGUCGGAAGGACCGUUAUUCCUGCUGGGCAGGAGAGAGAGGAGAGACCCUGAAACACACGCCACCUAUCUUUGUGGGGAGGGAUAAUUGAAGAGCACCAAACGUGAGCAUCAUGUGGAAACGUGAUCGCCAAGUUUCUCUCUGGGAAAGGAUCUGGGAUAGAUUAUACCUUGAAGUCUCCGCAAACGCUUUAGUGGAAGAAAUGAAAUUCCACCUCCCUCCCGCUCUGUCUCCCUCCUCCCUCUCUCCGACCCUCGCUCCCUUUCCUCCCUCCUCCCUCCCCCCCCCCCAACCAUCAAGUCUUUGGCAUCAUUAUCCUCUUCACUAAAUCCUACUGGAUACACGGCGGAAAACGGUGAACACCAUUCACAGAACUGGAUAACUCAAAGGAACUGAAAGUUAAAGGGAGCGAUCCUGUGUCUUUCAAUCAAGAUCCCUACUUCUUUUUACAGAGAUAGCUCUAAUGGCCAGAUUCUCCAGGCACAUUGACUUGGGUAGCUGUGUCAGCAUGGUUUCUAGCAGGAAAGUCUCCUUCUCCUUCCCAGUCCCCCCUCCACCCCUUACCCCCUUCUUUCAGAUGAGCAAACCAUAGCUCAAAAUUAUGGGUAGAAACUAAACACUGUAUUUGAAUUGAAAAAAGGCACCGAGUUGACUUCC